CCUACGGGUGGCAGCAGUGGGGAAUAUUGGGCAAUGGGCGCAAGCCUGACCCAGCAACGCCGCGUGAAGGAAGAAGGCUUUCGGGUUGUAAACUUCUUUUCACAGGGAAGAGUAGAGUGCGGUAACUGUCGAAUUAGGCCCCGCUAACUACGUUCCAGCAAACGCGGGAAUACGUAGGUGGCAAGGGUUUUCCGGAUUUUAUGGGUGUAAAGGGCGUGUAGCCGGGUUGACAAGUCAGAUGUGAAAUCCUGCGGCUUAACCGCCGAACUGCAUUUGAAACUGUUGAUCUUGAGUACUGGAGAGGCAGACGGAAUUCCUAGUGUAGCGGUGAAAUGCGUAGAUAUUAGGAGGAACACCAGUGGCGAAGGCGGUCUGCUGGACAGCAACUGACGGUGAGGCGCGAAAGCGUGGGGAGCAAACAGGAUUAGAUACCCUGGUAGUC
rnacentral:rRNA from 1 species